rnacentral:rRNA from 1 species
AGCCGCGGUAAUUCCAGCUCCAAUAGCGUAUAUUAAAGUUGUUGCGGGUAAAAAGCUCGUAGUCGAAUUUGUGUCUCGCGCCGCUGGUUCAUCGUCCGCGGUGUUAACUGGCGUUUCGCGAGACGUCCUGCCGGUGGGCUUAGCUCGCAAGGGCGGCCCAACUCAAUCCUGCCGCGGUGCUCUUCAUUGAGUGUCGAGGUGGGCCGGCACGUUUACUUUGAACAAAUUAGAGUGCUUAAAGCAGGCUAAAACUUCGCCUGAAUACUGUGUGCAUGGAAUAAUGGAAUAGGACCUCGGUUCUAUUUUGUUGGUUUUCGGAACCCCGAGGUAAUGAUUAAUAGGAACGGAUGGGGGCAUUCGUAUUGCGACGUUAGAGGUGAAAUUCUUGGAUCGUCGCAAGACGGACAGAAGCGAAAGCAUUUGCCAAAAACGCUUUCAUUGAUCAAGAACGAAAGUUAGAGGUUCGAAGGCGAUCAGAUACCGCCCUAGUUCUAACCAUAAACGAUGCCAGCUAGCGCUCCGCCCAAGUUCCUCCGAUGACUGGGCGGGUAGCUUCCGGGAAACCAAAGCUUUUGGGUUCCGGGGGAA